rfam:Musa acuminata subsp. malaccensis Doubled-haploid Pahang (DH-Pahang) genomic chromosome, chr6
AGGAUAAAAGCCUCUUAGAGUAGCCAAGGAGACUGCCUACAGAAAACUCAAUACAAUUCAUGAUGUGCUUCGAUGGCAUGCAUCCUUGAAGAGACUGUAGGCAAGUCAUCCUUGGCUUGACAAAGACACUCUUAUCC